UUUUGUAUUGUUGUGAUUAUUGCUUCAGGCGUAACGAAAUUUGUCAAAACCCGACUUUCUUCUUUGUCAAAUCUAGACAUCUUGUCUUUGGUCCAAAUAAAAGGAUUACCCUGCUUUCAAAUACCUAACCUUUCAUAUCUCCACUUUCCGAUUACUAAUAAUAUGGGAUAUAGUAAUACAGUUUAUAAGUUAAUAGUAAUAAUUAAGCGGUGUUUUUCUCUUCAUAUCUCCUCUUUCCUUCGAAGGGAUAUUUGAAAGUAUGGAGGUACAUAACUGGAAAUAAGAAGAGUUCAUCUUGUAUGUAUGAUCCAGAAUCGAUGAAGACACU
rnacentral:lncRNA from 1 species